rnacentral:rRNA from 1 species
ACCAGGAUUCCCCUAGUAACUGCGAGUGAAGAGGGAUUAGCCCAGCACCGAAGCCUGUGGUCAUUUGACUGCUAGGCAAUGUGGUGUUUAGGUUGGUUCUUGGCAUUACUGCUCCACCCUAAGUCCAGCAAUGAGUACGGCUUACUGGAUUGGCCCAUUGAGGGUGAAAGGCCCGUGUGGGUGGAGACUCAGACUGUCAGUUUUGCCCUGAAUUAACCUUGGAGUCGGGUUGUUUGUGAAUGCAGCCCAAAGUGGGUGGUAAACUCCAUCCAAGGCUAAAUACUGGCACGAGUCCGAUAGCGAACAAGUACCGUGAGGGAAAGUUGAAAAGUACUUUGAAGAGAGAGUAAACAGUUCGUGAACCCGCUCAGAGGUAAACGGGUGGAGUUGAACUGGAAGCCCUGUGGAUUCAGCUGAUGAGUAUGGCAUGAGCUUGGGCAUAUUGGUCGGCUUUCAGAGUCCGCUUAGCUGCGGGUCCUUGCCCUAACGGGUUUGGAUGUGCGUUACGCUUAUUAGGCGUUGUGCGCUCUGUCUGUUCCGGGCCUGCUCGUCAGUGCACUUCCUCAGGGUGUUCACCACGACCGGCGCUGCUGUCUGUCUGUUACGGUCAAACCGGUUAGGCUUAGUCAUUUUGGCUAGGUUUGGUCGGGAUGGCAGGUGGCUCUUGAGAUUUUCUAGCUUCGGCUGGUUUAGCUCUUGAGUGUAAUUAGCCGACUGUAAUGGAUCUGUGCGGUGCGUCGGAGCUGGCGGCUUUGGUGUGUGUACGCGUGCUGUAGCUUACUGGCUUGGUCAAGUUUGGUUAAUGUGUUACCUGCUUCGGUGGGUCUAUUAAUGGCUUGACUUUGCAUAGUGGGUGGUGGCGCGUGCGACGCUAGCUAGGGCCAAAAGUCUGUGGUGUUGUGGUAAACUAUCCACCCGACCCGUCUUGAAACACGGACCAAGGAGUUUAACAUGUACGCGAGUCAUUGGGCGUUACGAAACCCAAAGGCGUAGUGAAAGUAAAGGUUCGGCUUGUCCGAGCUGAGGUGAGAUCCUGCUGUUUCUCUGCCUUGGACUACCAAGCAUUCGAGCAGUAGGCGCAUCACCGGCCCGUCUCAUGAUGUAGUCAUAUGACCUUUGGUUGUGUGCACCUUCGGGGCGGAGCUAGAGCGUACACGUUGAGACCCGAAAGAUGGUGAACUAUGCCUGCGCAGGUUGAAGCCAGAGGAAACUCUGGUGGAGGACCGCAGCGAUUCUGACGCGCAAAUCGAUCGUCUAACGUGGGUAUAGGGGCGAAAGA